CUCGAUUGGCGGUGUUACGCGCAUCAUCAACUGGACAGUGCCAUGAUGUGAAUACUGUUGAUACUGAUGAUGUGGAUGCUGAUGAUGUGGAUGAUGAUAAUGUGGAUGCCUCCGGGCUGAAAUAGCUGGACAGUGCCAUGAUGUGAAUACUGAUGAUGUGGAUGCUGAUGAUGUGGAUGCCUCUGUUGAUCAACCAGGGACUGAAAUAGCUGGACAGUGCCAUGAUGUUUAUACUGUUGAUACUGAUGAUGUGGAUGCUGAUGAUGUGGAUGUUGAUAAUGUUGAUGCCUCCGUUGAUCAACCAGGGACUGAAAUAGGUCAACUCGAAGCAGUCGUAAAUGCUAGGAUUGGCACAAACCAUGAAAAACGAACAGCCACAGUCAGAACACCUUGGAGCUAGGCUGAAGAAGACGUGGUAGAAAAUGGCCUUAAAAAGUGUUUUAAGCUUAAUACUCCACCAAAUAUAAGUUAGAAUGUCUUGAACUUAUAAAGAAAUAUCCAAUUCUUGCCAGGCGAUCAAGGACAGUGGUGAAAGGGUACAUUAGAACAAGGCAAAAAGCAAACAAUUAAACAAAUAGAUACUUUAAAUUAUAGAAUAGACUAGAUUGCAUUUUGAUUUAAGCUUUAUAUCUGAAUACUAUCAGUGAUUGACAUUUUCUUUCGAUAUUGUUCUAUUUUUAUUUAUUUUUUUACAAUUAAAAAUUUGAAAUUGAAUAUGGUAAUAACUUGUCCUCAAUUGGAGGUGAUUUUGCUAGAAUUGUCCAUGAUGUUUGUGGUCAUUUACACUGCAGUGUAUUCAAUUGUUUUUUUGUUCCAUGGUAAAUAAUGGUGUGUGGUAUUGUUUUGUAUUGAAUGCUUCUGUCACUUCUCAGUGAUGUGAUGUUUUUCGUGUUGUUGGAUAAAUUGAUGAAAUGCAAAUUAAAUAUCAUCAUGUAUGAACAUGUCAAACAAAAAUGUAUUAACUUUCUUCUGUUUGCUAUCAAAACGUUAAGUAUUUGUUUGGUUGAAUUGUAUCUUGAGCCAAUGAAUGAAGAUUUGUUUAUUACUGAAAUUUGAUAUGCAUUAAUUUUUGUAAAAGAAAAUUUUUCAGAAAAAAGUAUCUUGGUAUUGUGAUAUGCCUUGGCACCUGUCAGGGCUGUGGGCAUCAUGCAGUCUUUUACCUAGGACAGUAACUAAAUCACUUCAUAUUUAAAUAAAACUUGGCUAAGAUGUUGCCAGGGACAAUAUGCAUGUGUACAUCAAGGGGCAUAACUCUGGCUUUAGUUUGUAUUGAGUUAUGCCUCAUUUUCGAAGGAGAAAAAAACAGACGAGCGCUGGUGUUCUCUUCAUGGCGCUCUUGUUGACCUUGGCAAGAUCAAGGUUCAAUGUUGAAAUAAGAUAUGCCUUGUAAGUUAUUUUAACUAACAGGGGAAAGUCUGACAAUCAAGUUUAGACUUUAAUAGCUUUAAUAGUGAUUGUUGUGUAAAGUGGACUUUUAACAUAUUUUAUCAUAUAAAUAGAAGUAUGAAUUCUGCUCUUUGGAGCUAAAAAUUAUCUAAUUUCCGGCUAUUGAUAAUUAUGUUCUUAUUUCACAUAUCCGAGCAUGUUAUGUAUCCGAGGUUCUUUUGUUAUGUAUUUGUAUCCAUUUGUCUACAUUAUACUGAUUACUUAGUAUUGAUAUAUUCGUAUUUAAUACCUGUCUUGUAAUGAUCAGCUAUAUAAAUAUA